rnacentral:rRNA from 1 species
AGCGAACGUUUGCGGCGGGCUUAACACAUGCAAGUCGAACGAGAAUCCCUUCGGGGAGGAAAGUGGCGCACGGGUGCGUAACACGUGGAUAACCAACCCAUUGGUUUGGGACAACACCGGGAAACUGGUGCUAAUACCAGAUGUGUCGCAGCUGUCUUCAGGCGGUUGCGAGAAAGGCCCGCAAGGGUCGCCAACGGACGGGUCCGCGUCCCAUCAGCUAGUUGGUGAGGUAAUGGCUCACCAAGGCAAAGACGGGUAGCUGGUCUGAGAGGAUGAUCAGCCACACUGGAACUGAGACACGGUCCAGACUCCUACGGGAGGCAGCAGUGGGGAAUAUUGCGCAAUGGGCGAAAGCCCGACGCAGCCACGCCGCGUGAGCGAUGAAGGUCUUCGGAUCGUAAAGCUCUGUGGGGGGAGAAGAAGAAAGCCGGUGAAGAGCCGGCCCUGACGGUAUCCCCUUAGCAAGCACCGGCUAACUCCGUGCCAGCAGCCGCGGUAAAGU